CGGUGUUUAACUGGCGUGAUGUGGGACGUCCUACCGGUGGGCUUAGCCUCGCGAGGGGCGGCCCAACUAAUAUCCCGUCGCGGUGCUCUUUACUGAGUGUCGAGUCGGGCCGGUACGUUUACUUUGAACAAAUUAGAGUGCUUAAAGCAGGCUAUCCUCGCCUGAAUACUGCGUGCAUGGAAUAAUGGAAUAGGACCUCGGUUCUAUUUUGUUGGUUUUCGGAACCCCGAGGUAAUGAUUAAUAGGGACAGAUGGGGGCAUUCGUAUUGCGACGUGAGAGGUGAAAUUCUUGGAUCCUCGCAAGACGGACAGAAGCGAAAGCAUUUGCCAAAAAUGUUUUCAUUAAUCAAGAACGAAAGUUGAGGUUCGAAGGCGAUCAGAUACCGCCCUAGUUCUAACCAUAAACGAUGCCAGCUAGCGAUCCGCCGAAGUUCUUCCGAUGACUCGGCGGGCAGCUUCCGGGAAACCAAAGCUUUUGGGUUCCGGGGGAAGUAUGGUUGCAAAGCUGAAACUUAAAGGAAUUGACGGAAGGGCACCACCAGGAGUGGAGCCUGCGGCUUAAUUUGACUCAACACGGGAAACCUCACCAGGCCCAGACACCGGAAGGAUUGACAGAUUGAUAGCUCUUUCUUGAUUCGGUGGGUGGUGGUGCAUGGCCGUUCUUAGUUGGUGGAGCGAUUUGUCUGGUUAAUUCCGAUAACGAACGAGACUCUAGCCUGCUAAAUAGGCGUACCUUAUGGUAUCGCGAAGGCCCCCGGCUUCGGCCGGUGGGUUUUUACUACCAACGUACAAACAAAUCUUCUAGAGGGACAGGCGG
rnacentral:rRNA from 1 species